GGGGUUGUUUUUUUCCCCUGCAACAAGUAAAAAUGGCGACAUCCUCAGGAGCUGACAUAAUAGGGAAGACGCGGAUUUCCAAAUUCUGUGUCAGACAUGUUUGGGGGAAAAUCCAUACAUCUGCAUAAACAAAGAGAAGUAUGCGGAAGAAUGCAAGGUAAGAUACCAUUUUGUUGGUCCUUUUAAUUCCUAGAUCCAAAGACAUUAGAAUAGUACAUUUUCUUCAUCCAAACUAAUGAACAUC
rnacentral:lncRNA from 1 species